CCUACGGGAGGCAGCAGUGAGGAAUAUUGGUCAAUGGGCGCGAGCCGGAACCAGCCAAGUAGCGGGAAGGAUGACUGCCCUACGGGUUGUAAACUUCUUUUAUAAAGGAAUAAAGUGAGGCACGUGUGCCUUGUUGUAUGGACGUUAUGAAUAAGGAUCGGCUAACUCCGUGCCAGCAGCCGCGGUAAGACGGAGGAUCCGAGCGUUAUCCGGAUUUCUUGGGGUUAAAGGGAGCGUAGAUGGGUUGUUAAGUCAGUUGUGAAAGUUUGCGGCGCAACCGUAAAAUUGCAAUUGAUACUGGCAGCCUUGAGUACAGUUGCGGUCGGCGGCCUUCGUGGUGUAGCGGUGCACUGCUUCGCUCUCACG
rnacentral:rRNA from 1 species